CCCAGGCUCUUAUGGGAGCCAGGACUCCAACCGCAGCCGAACCUCAAUCGACAGAUCCGCACCCCUUCGGCAGGUCGCGACAACAAUCAUGAUCCUGUUCCAGGUCCUACAGUGGAUUCUACGCGGCUCCAGCAGCGGACCCAUUACUCCCUGACAGGCUGUACCAAACGGCCAUGAUUCUGUCCCGCUCCCUGCGGCAGGUGCUGUACGAUCCCACUACUCACUGACAGCUAGCGGCAACGGAUGCCGCCCCACUAUCCGCAACAGGCCAUACGUGGCAGACUAUGACAAUAGCCACGAGUCUACCCCACCACUCUCCGUAAUUAAUUUCCCUGACCGUGGGCGGCCCACUACCAGACGGUUGCAGGUGUCACCAUCAAUCCGUUGCCCCCUUUGCCUAUAAAAGGGGAUCCAGAUACGUUAUUCUCUAAGCCUUUUGCCUUAUCUCAAAACUCUGCUAAAUUCUCUGUUCGAGCACUCCAUUCUUGUUGAGGCAGAGAACUGACUUGAGCGUCGG
rnacentral:lncRNA from 1 species